UGCUCAAACCAAGAGAGCAAAUUACAGCUCUGAGCUCCGAUUCAGCAUAAGACUCAUGUACAUUUAUUGUAUUUGUUCUAGAUGCCUAAAACAGCCAUGCAUGACUCCAUCCAUCUCCGUUUGUAGCGCAAUAGAUUUGCACAAGAUGAGAUGAAGAUAUGCAAAAAACAAUUUGACACAAACGUGCAGAAAUUGUGCUGAAUUGUAACAAUGACUAAAUUGAAGCACUGCUUGACUGGUUUUCAUUUCUUAAAUAUAGGAAUUACAUCUGUUCAUGGCUCUUCAUCAAAAGUUUGACAUCCCUUGUGUUUCUCAUUCCUCUGUACUGGAUACUGGGAUGCACUGCACAGAGACGAUAAUCUCUCUUAGUUUUUAGUGUGGCGUGAGGUUAACCCAGAGAUGAAUGACUGGCACAUGAUUGAGGGUAAAGAGGAGUGUGUUCGCUGCUGUGGGCCUUCACUUUUAUAUUUUCUUCACGGACAAAAAUGCUGGGGUGUCUGAAAGCAGUCUGUAAGUCAUCAUUACUGCUGAGCUGGGCAUGGACCGCUGCUCUGGGUGAGGAGGGAGCUGAUGAACUGAGACCACAACACAACUCCUCAAUGCUGCGCUCAUUUCACCUCUUAUACGAUCUGUUAUCCACAAGGCCGGUGCUCAGGUAAUGCGCAUAAUCACGCAGGGGACAGUAGAGGACGGCUGAGAUGUGAUUGCUUGGCACUUCACUGACGGUCUGACGGUCUGACGGUCUUCCAGUAGAGCUGGAUUCAGGAGAGCACAGGUAAACUAGGCUAAGGGGUGAUCCUCGAACCAUUUCAUCUUCACCCUUCUCGCAUCAAUAUUUGCAACAAAAGCCUGCGGAAACAACAAUGGCAUUACGGUACUGUAUACUUAAUCGCAGAAACUGCAUGGUUGCUAAGUUACUAAGUCCCCGGGGGCCGCCGCAGUCUUUUUAAAUGACGGAGAGGAGCAGUGAAAACUCCAGCCCUCUAUGCUUCACUAUCGAUUUUACACCGGAGAUCCCAGCACUGAUGAUAGGCUUCUGAUAUAUUUUCCUGCUGCAGCCGGUCCCUCGGAGCUUUGCAAGAAAAAUACCUGUCAAUAUGCUCCUAUUAUGAUCUCUUGAUCUGCGGCGAUAAAAACUUUAAGCGUCGGCCCUUAUUGGAGAAUAAUGGGUCGGACUAUUCAAUAUCAAGUGCUGUUGCGAUUCAGGAUUUUUCACAGUAUUGUUUUGUCGGAGAGGAGCGUAACCCUUGGUGGAAUGCUGCGGGCCUCAUUAGUUUGAUUAACUUGCCGCGGAGCACGACGGGCUGUGACAUCACUGGGCUCCAUAGUAAAUAGCGUCUGAUGGGCCGGUCUCGUCGCUGCCUUUCUGGCGUGUCACAGACUGCCUGCCUGCCUCUGCCCCCAGCAGACUGCCCCGCCACUCUCGACGCCCUAUUAGCAAUUUAUAAUGGUGAUCAAAAAGUAGUCAGCAGCGAAUCAAGACGACUGUCUCCACGCUGCACUA